AGACGAGGGGUAACAUUGUAGCUUGCUACAGAUGACGACCGGCGCACGGGUGCGUAACGCGUAUGAAACCUGCCUUUUACUGGGGGAUAGCCCGAAGAAAUUCGGAUUAAUACCCCAUAAUAAUAAUUGAUGGCAUCAUUAAUUAUUUAAAACUCCGGUGGUAAAAGAUGGUCAUGCGUGACAUUAGCUAGUUGGUAAGGUAACGGCUUACCAAGGCAACGAUGUCUAGGGGUUCUGAGAGGAAGGUCCCCCACACUGGUACUGAGACACGGACCAGACUCCUACGGGAGGCAGCAGUGAGGAAUAUUGGUCAAUGGACGCAAGUCUGAACCAGCCAUGUCGCGUGCAGGAAGACUGCCCUAUGGGUUGUAAACUGCUUUUAUACGGGAAGAAUUGUAGCUACGAGUAGUUAUUUGCCGGUACCGUAUGAAUAAGCAUCGGCUAACUCCGUGCCAGCAGCCGCGGUAAUACGGAGGAUGCGAGCGUUAUCCGGAUUUAUUGGGUUUAAAGGGUGCGUAGGCGGAAUAGUAAGUCAGGGGUGAAAGUUUGCGGCUCAACCGUAAAAUUGCCUUUGAUACUGUUAUUCUUGAGUACAUUUGAGGUAGGCGGAAUGUGUUGUGUAGCGGUGAAAUGCUUAGAUAUAACACAGAACACCGACGAAGGCAGCCUACUAAACUGUAACUGACGCUGAUGCACGAAAGCGUGGGGAUCGAACA
rnacentral:rRNA from 1 species